UACGUAGUGGCAAGCGUUGUCCGGAAUUAUUGGGCGUAAAGAGCGUGUAGGCGGCCAGAUAAGUCCGCUGUGAAAUCUCGAGGCUCAACUUCGAGCUGUCGGUGGAAACUAUCUGGCUAGAGUCCGGAAGAGGAGAAUGGAAUUCCUGGUGUAGCGGUGAAAUGCGCAGAUAUCAGGAAGAACACCCGUGGCGAAGGCGGUUCUCUGGGACGGUACUGACGCUGAGACGCGAAAGCGUGGGGAGCGAACAGG
rnacentral:rRNA from 1 species